GUCCCACCGGGAAGAGACCCCGGGGAAGACCUAGGACACGCUGGAGGGACUAUGUCUCCCGGCUGGCCUGGGAACGCCUCGGUGUCCCCCCGGAAGAGCUAGAGGAAGUGUCUGGGGAGAGGGAAGUCUGGGCAUCCCUGCUUAGACUGCUGCCCCCGCGACCCGGCCCCGGAUAAGCGGAAGAAGAUGGAUGGAUGGAUGGAUGGAUAAUUCCAGGUACCGGACAUUUGAAAACAAUUCGACUGGUUGGAGCCCACAGAGACUGAGCUUGGCUUAAAGGACAAGAGGCAGGUGGGCAGAGAUAAGAUGGACACACAAACACACAAACAAACACACACUCACAUACACACAGACUGGUCUACAGCUGCAAGCAGAGUCUACACUGAGGCGCCGCACAUCUACAGAGAGGUCUUGGGUUCCUGUGAGCUGGACUAAUCCUAGUCCUGACGAUUCUGCCAUGAGAUGGAGAAGGCAGCCUCCAACCGAGCAGAUGGGAGCGAAGGAAAGCGCCGGUUCGGGACAACGUUUACAGGGGCGCGGAAAGACCAACUCCACAACAUCAUGCUACGCUGGUUGGGUCCAUACCAGGUAACAUCUCAUCUGCUGUCCAGGUAGCUGAGAGAGGAACCUGCAGAUCGACGACACACUCUACAGGAGGGCUUCGGAGUUCAAAGCCUGCAGCUAUGGAGCCUUUGGCUAAAACUGGUCAUCUUGAUAUUCGCAAAUGAGAACACACAGAUUCUCCUGGCCUGGCUGAUAAAGCAGCUGGAAUGAAGACAACAACAGCUGCAUUGGAGCUAUGAAGGACAACACCUUGGAAUAUACAUCAGAUUUUUAUGUCCUGUUACACCGGUCUACAAAGAAAUGGUUCACAACUGACUAUCUGACAUUUGGAGGAGCAGAACAUUUGGGAUCUAAUUGGAGUCCAGAGAGAGACUGAGUACUUAGUUGACCAUGCGGUGAACAAGUUAAAAGAUUCAACCAGAAAACCUUUGUCUCUCUUUCUGGUCACAUUGGAUGCAAGAUGAGGAGUCAGAUAACGAGGUCGGAGAAGAAACUGAAUCUCUUGUAUAAAUCAUGGUGUACUCUAUUCUUUACAACUUGUUCACAUUCCUUUCCAGCAAUCUACCAUGAAGUAUUUUUACAACUGGUCUACAAUAAUUGAUGUUUACAUUUGUCAUAUUUCUGUUUAGGUAAUGAUCUUAUUCUCAGUGACAUUUAUAGUUAUUUUCACACCAUAAAUGGUGUGAAACGGGGGAUUGUUGAGAUAAAUGUAGUUUAAAUAAUGCUGAUUUAAUAACCAUGUAUUCUUAUGUUUUUGUUUUAUUAAAUUGUAUGCUGCAGCCAGGUUAGGGAAAUAUGAUUGAAUACAAUAACCAUAAAGUUUAGAACUCCUUAAAUUACACUCAACCACACUCACUCAGACUUUACACCUGGCUCUGAUAGAGAGACAGGAUUAAAACCCCACAAUUAACAUACAAAUGAAACUGCCCCCUAUACAGCACAAAGAGACCUUCUGUCUCCAGCCCCCUGAUGUUAUAGUCUAGGUUAGGACAAUAGAAUGUAAAUUACUGUAACCUGGUUAAGAUUUCACACCUGUAUGCAAAGAACCUGUUGAUCUAUGACCGAGAAUUAGAGCAUGUCCGUCUUCAUUGGAUUGGAUUCGUCCAACAUGUCACCAUGUCAACAAAGAACCAAUAAGGAUGGGUUUUACUCACGAGAGUGAAAAGUAACCGCCCCUGUGGCGGGAGUAUUAAAACCAAUGUUCGAUCUUUGUUCGGCGCGAAUAUUUUGUGCAAGCUCGAGGGUUGAGCAAAUAUUUGACCGCUGCAGUGUAUUUCAUGUAUUUUGACUUAUCAAUUCAUAUUAAUAAAU
ensembl:lncRNA